rnacentral:rRNA from 1 species
GACGAACGCUGGCGGCGUGCCUAAUACAUGCAAGUCGAACGCAGUGGGGACGGGUGAGUAACACGUGGGUAACCUCCCAUCAGAGGGGAUAACACUUGGAAACAGGUGCUAAACCGAUACUGAUGGAUGGACCCGAGGUGCAUUAGCUAGUUGGUGAGGUAACGGCUCACCAAGGCAACGAUGCAUAGACGACCUGAGAGGGUGAUCGGCCACACUGGAACUGAGACACGGCCCAGACUCCUACGGGAGGCAGCAGUAGGGAAUAUUCGGCAAUGGGCGAAAGUCUGACCUAGCAACGCCGCGUGAAUGAAGAAGGUUUUCGGAUCGUAAAACUCUGUUGUUAGGGAGGCGGUAUCUAACCAGAAAGCCACGGCUAACUACGUGCCAGCAGCCGCGGUAAUUC